UAAACUGCAAACCUGGCAACCGCUAGAUAUAGAUAAGCAGUACCACCACUCUCCUCCUCUUUCUUUUUCCAGACCUUUCCAUCCUCCAUAUCUAGCUAGCAUACAGCAAACUGCGCAAUGAAUCCAACGUGGGACAGACCAGCAGCACGGUGACGCCCAACAGCAGUCCAACUGAGAGAAUCCGUCUGUUUUAAACUGCUGUAAUAAACUGUAUCUAUUGGUUAUUG